rnacentral:rRNA from 1 species
AUUGAACGCUGGCGGCAGGCCUAACACAUGCAAGUCGAGCGAGCGUCGGACGGGGGUGAGAUGUCUGGGAAACUGCGCGCGGUAGGGGGAUAACAACAGGAGACGGGGUCUCAUAUCCCAUACGAUCACAUGUGUCCCCAUGGGAUUUGCUCGUAGGUGGGGUAACGGCGCACCUAGGCGACGAUCCCUAGCUGGUCUGAGAGGAUGACCCGCCACACUGGAACUGAGACACGGUCCAGACUCCGACGGGAGGCAGCAGUGGGGAAUAUUGCACAAUGGGCGCAAGCCUGAUGCAGCCAUGCCGCGUGUGUGAAGAAGGCCUUCGGGUUGUAAAGCACUUUCAGCGGGGAGGCGUUACCCGCAGAAGAAGCACCGGCUAACUCCGUGCCAGCAGCCGCGGUAAUUC